UAAUGUAAUUGAAAAUGAUUAUCAAUACUACAUAGACAUUCCCCCCACACAUAUUUGUUUUAGUAGAAUUGAUCAUUUUCGUAAAUAUCCCCUUUUAUAUGCCCGUAAAAGACUAACGUUGUAAAUCAACGUAUAUAUAGAAACCGGUUUGCAUUAUGAAAUCGGUUUUUAU
rfam:Staphylococcus cohnii subsp. cohnii strain 073AN genome assembly, contig: ERS576551SCcontig000002